AGAGUUUGAUCUGGCUCAGGAUGAACGCUAGCUACAGGCUUAACACAUGCAAGUCGAGGGGCAUCAUGGAGUUGCUUGCAAACUCUGAUGGCGACCGGCGCACGGGUGAGUAACGCGUAUCCAACCUUCCCUAUAGUAGAGGAUAGCCCGGCGAAAGUCGGAUUAAUACUCUAUGUUUUCCGUUGCAGACAUCUAAGAUGGAACAAAGGCUUGCCGCUAUAGGAUGGGGGAUGCGUCUGAUUAGGUAGUCGGCGGGGUAACGGCCCACCGAGCCAUCGAUCAGUAGGGGUUCUGAGAGGAAGGUCCCCCACAUUGGAACUGAGACACGGUCCAAACUCCUACGGGAGGCAGCAGUGAGGAAUAUUGGUCAAUGGGCGAGAGCCUGAACCAGCCAAGUAGCGUGCAGGACGACGGCCCUAUGGGUUGUAAACUGCUUUUAUGCGGGGAUAAAGUUCACUACGUGUAGUGUUUUGUAGGUACCGCAUGAAUAAGGACCGGCUAAUUCCGUGCCAGCAGCCGC
rnacentral:rRNA from 1 species